rnacentral:tRNA from 1 species
GCGCCAGUAGCUCAGCGGAUUAGAGCAGCGGUCUUCGGAACCGCGUGUCGGGGGUUCGAGUCCCUCCUGGCGCAC